rnacentral:rRNA from 2 species
GCACCUGAUUGAUUUUGGUCGCCAACGAGUGGCGGACGGGUGAGUAACACGUAUGUAACCUGCCCACAAGCGGGGGACAACAUUUGGAAACAGAUGCUAAUACCGCAUAACAUCGUUGUUCGCAUGAACAACGCUUAAAAGAUGGCUUCUCGCUAUCACUUCUGGAUGGACCUGCGGUGCAUUAGCUUGUUGGUGGGGUAAUGGCCUACCAAGGCGAUGAUGCAUAGCCGAGUUGAGAGACUGAUCGGCCACAAUGGGACUGAGACACGGCCCAUACUCCUACGGGAGGCAGCAGUAGGGAAUCUUCCACAAUGGGCGCAAGCCUGAUGGAGCAACACCGCGUGAGUGAAGAAGGGUUUCGGCUCGUAAAGCUCUGUUGUUAAAGAAGAACACGUAUGAGAGUAACUGUUCAUACGUUGACGGUAUUUAACCAGAAAGUCACGGCUAACUACGUGCCAGCAGCCGCGGUAAUACGUAGGUGGCAAGCGUUAUCCGGAUUUAUUGGGCGUAAAGAGAGUGCAGGCGGUUUUCUAAGUCUGAUGUGAAAGCCUUCGGCUUAACCGGAGAAGUGCAUCGGAAACUGGAUAACUUGAGUGCAGAAGAGGGUAGUGGAACUCCAUGUGUAGCGGUGGAAUGCGUAAAUAUAUGGAAGAACACCAGUGGCGAAGGCGGCUACCUGGUCUGCAACUGACGCUGAGACUCGAAAGCAUGGGUAGCGAACAGGAUUAGAUACCCUGGUAGUCCAUGCCGUAAACGAUGAGUGCU